UUAAAUAAUAGAGUAAAAUUUUCUAUUAAUGAAUCAAACAUCAUCUGAUAACAUUUUUAAUAUCCUCGCAGCGGAAAUAGUGUUCAUAAAUCUUUUCAACCAAAAUAUGGCUCUAAGGCCUCAACGUGUUCAACAUUAAUACAAAAAUCCAACUAAAUGGUUUCAACAUAAAAUCUCAAGGAAAAAUACGUAACAAGGACAAUCCAACAUUAAAACCCGCCCCGUUACGUAUCAGAGCAUCCUAAGACCAUGAGGGAGUCGACUCACAACUUCAGCUAGUCUUGAAUAUCUGCACUUGCCCACAAGGCGGCAAUUUCAGCAGAAGGGGUGAGAUACAUAUACAGUAAUAAUAAUAAUUCAUCAACAUAGAAUUAGUAAUUUAAAACAUCAUGAACAUCAACAUAUUAUUUCUUCAUUUAACUACACAACUUUUCAAUGCCUCUCAUUAAUUCUAUCACAACUCGAUAACACGACAAUGCUUCGUCGACUUAGAUAACAUGACUCCAACUUAAACAACUUAGACGACUUGACUAUGCGGCGUGCAUGUGGUACCAAUCAGGGCAUCAAGCCCCCAACAAAUUUUGAGCGUAGGCUCACAGGGCAUCAAGCCCCCAACGGGUUUGAGCAUAGGCUCACAGGGCAUCAAGCCCCCAACGGGUUUGAGCAUAAGCUCACAGGGCAUCAAGCCCUCAACUUUAAUGCAUAUGUGGACUCUGUAAAAUGCCAAGACAACCAGCAACUUAAUCAACUUAGACAACUUCUUACAACUCAUAUGACCUUGACUCGACGACAAGGAUUCUACUCCACAACAUCCUAAUUCAUCAUACAACUUCGUAAAUUCAUAUAAAAUUAUUCACAAGGAAUUUUUGUAUCAAACCNNNNNNNNNNNNCAAUUCUGUACCGAUCAGUACCGGAUUUUAUUUCCAAUUCGGGUACAGAGGCUGAAGUUUCACUGUGACCUACGUGCAGUAAUUUGACUAUAACUUACGUUCCAAAAAUGCUUUUGAAGUCAAACCAAAUCCAUUAGAAAGCUAACAGCUUUAUCUACAACUUUCGUGUUUACACCUAAGACCAAUUUCUUACCGAUCAAUACCAGUUGUUAUUUCAAACUCGGGUACAGAAGCUAAAGUUUCACUAAAAUUCACCGUUCAUCAUAAUUUAACCACUUUUUAAUAAUAACCCUUUUUCAUAUAAUCUCCUUAGACUCUCUUAGUUUUUUAGAAAUCAAACACCCAAUAUCACUAAUCAUCUAACAACAGUUAUUCUAACAUGAUUCAGGGGCUUCUUAUUCCAUUAUUAAUCAAAUUCAUAGUUAACCUAGUUUUCCCAAUUUUCAUCAAUUCUCAUACUAAAUCAAUUUUCAGAACUACAUGCUUAUAAUUAAAGUAUAAAUUCUCACCCUUACCUUAGGUUUGAUGAACGAACAAUCCUACAGCUGCUCUUGAUUCUCUAAGCCUCUUCUCUCUUGGUGCCUCUCCCUUUUCUCCAAAACCCUUUUUUUUUUUUUUGUUUUUUACGUGAAAGAGUUUUUCUCUUUUGUGACUUCUAUUUCUUAACCUCCCACUUCCUUAUUUAAUUCCUAAUAAUUCCACUUAAUACUAUUAUUUCCAUCUAACUCCAAUUCCAACCCCUUAACUCUACUUAUUCCCUUUACUACUCUUCUCCUUACAAUUAAUUAAAAUAAAGCCAUUCAAUUAAAAAUACAUCACAUAAAUACAAUAAAUCAAAUAAAUAGACUCUAUAUUUAAUAAAAUAAAUAAAAGCAACUAGGGCGUUACAA
rnacentral:lncRNA from 1 species